GAUCACAACCAUCACAUCAACAUCAGGUCAGCGAGAAAUGAAAAUGAUGCAAAACUGAAGUUGCAGCUCAAGUAUCGCCACCGCCUCCCACGGUUAACGAUCCGGUAAGUCGAUUGGUCCCGCAAUGCACCUGAGGAAGGCCGUAAGGAACGUUUACCGCCGAGAAGACAUGGAGAUGGCCAUUCAGCCGCUUACGUUGACCUUCAGGACAUCCUCUGUAUAGGCACUUCUCCGCCAUCCGGUGUAGUAAUUCGGUCAUAGCGAAGCUAUUGAAGUGCUUCUGGUGCACUCAGUGGUCUGAAAGAAGCUGGGGUAGGUUCGGCACUAUGAUACUUGGAUACACAGCAGCGCACGAAACGACCCGCAACCUG